AUAAUAUAUAUCCUUUUUUGUCUCUCAAAAUUCUAGGUUCCUGAAAGGGACCUUAGCGUUCAUUCUCAUCAUCUCUGAGGAACAAAUUUUCUAACUUUACAGGAGGUUUUGAGAAUGGAUGAGGUCAUGAAAACAGAGGAUCAUUUGACAUCACCUGCAGCUUUUGUGGAAGGUGGAAUUCAAGAUGCCUGUGAUGAUUCUUGCAGCAUUUGCCUCGAGGCUUUCUGCGAAAGCGAUCCUUCUACGGUAACUAGCUGCAAUCAUGAGUUUCAUCUCCAAUGUGUCCUGGAAUGGUACGUAGAUGCAAAAGUUUUGUUUACACUAUCUUUGCUGUUUUCGACAGU